GGGGAUACAAAUUUAUUUCCUAUUCAAAGCAGGUAGAGAUGCAGAUGAUGCUUCCUCCUUUGUUAGAAAACACUUUAGUAUUUGCCCUAGUUAUGGAGAAACAAACCACAAGUCAGGAUCAUACGGUAGGAAUUUAUUAACAAGCAAACAACUCUGUUCAUAUCAGGAAGACCAGUUGGUUAGGUUAUAAAUGACUCGAGAGCAGGUGCAAGAACUUACAACUGUAAAGCAUUCUAUUAGAAUGUUUACUGCCGAGUAGAUCUACAAGAGGUAAUCAUUCCUAAAUUCUGGUAAUCAUUUUAUGCGGCACUCCCUGAGAAAAGGACGUGACCUACACAGGUGGGAGUACACAGAGGAGUCUCCUACAAGAGGAAGUCAGGAAACUCAGGAAGUAGUGAUGUUUUCAGAUAGAGUUCCUCAGAAAACUUGAGACCGUGUGUUUUCUUCCUCAUUCCUUAGGAACCCCAUUUGGCCAACUGAUUCCAGAGAAUCAGAUCCUGAUUCACAAUUCUAAGAAAUUGUCAUUGGACAUGCACUGAAGUAGUUUCUCGGGCACUGCUUUGGUGUUAAGCAUACAAAAAACAAUUUUAACCAUCAGAACGAAAUCUAAAAUCUAUAGAAGUAAGUUUUCAGCCUAGACAGCUUUCCAGACAAUCAACUAUCUACCAUAGAGAAUUCUCUAUAAUCACCUUUCAAAUUCCCACUCUGAAAGAAACUUGAAUAUUUCAUGGCCAAAAGCAGGCAGCUUGAAAAGUAAAUACCAAACUUUUAGAUAGGUGGAAUCCUGAGGAAGGAUAUACUGGUGCUAAACAAGACAUCAAAUCAGGAAAUGUUACUUUGUGCAUAAGAAGCCACAACAUCAGCUCAAAAUAGUUUCACAGGUUCCACAGAAGAGAUGCUGAUAAACAAAUGGAAAUAUGCUUUUCUGUGCAUCUUCAGUUAUAAAACAAAUUCUCUAACAAGUUCCAAUGGACAGUGCAAAAAUUUUCACAGCGGAAAUUCAUUUAACAAAUAACUAAACCUACAACUGCAAAUUACUUGGCCACUGUUUACCAAAUCAAAUGAUGCUGAACUCUCUACUCUCAACUAUCAUGUGUGUGAUAGUCUUCUCAUGAUGCC
ensembl:lncRNA